UAGUCCACGCCCUAAACGAUGCUUACUCGAUAUCUGAUCUUCGGAUUGGGUGUCCAAGGGAAACCGAUAAGUAAGCCACCUGGGGAGUACGUUCGCAAGAAUGAAACUCAAAGGAAUUGACAGGGGUCCGCACAAGCGGUGGAGCAUGUGGUUUAAUUCGAUGCAACGCGAAGAACCUUACCUGGGCUUGAACUGUUGAUGAUCGUGCCAGAGAUGGCGCUUUCCUUCGGGACAUCAUCAGAGGUGCUGCAUGGCUGUCGUCAGCUCGUGUCGUGAGAUGUUCGGUUAAGUCCGGCAACGAGCGCAACCCUUAUCUUUAGUUGCCAGCACAUUAUGGUGGGAACUCUAAAGAGACUGCCCGGGUUAACCGGGAGGAAGGUGGGGAUGACGUCAAGUCCUCAUGGCCCUUACGUCCAGGGCUACACACGUGCUACAAUGGUAGGUGCAGCGAGAAGCGAAGCGGCGACGUGAAGCAGAUCUCAAAAAACCUAUCUC
rnacentral:rRNA from 1 species